rnacentral:rRNA from 1 species
ACCCGCUGAAUUUAAGCAUAUCACUAAGCGGAGGAAAAGAAACUAACCAGGAUUCCCCUAGUAACGGCGAGUGAAGAGGGAAUAGCCCAGCACCGAAGCCUGCGGCAGAUUUGCUGUUAGGCAAUGUGGUGUUUGGGUCGACUCGCGGGAUUGCCACUCCAUUCGAAGUCCAGCAUUGAGUAUGGUCACUGGAUUUGGCCCAGAGAGGGUGAAAGGCCCGUACGGGUGGAGGUUCAGACAUGUAAGGCAGUUCCCCAGGUCGGCCUUAGAGUCGGGUUGUUUGAGAAUGCAGCCCAAAGCGGGUGGUAAACUCCAUCCAAGGCUAAAUACAAGCACGAGUCCGAUAGCGAACAAGUACCGUGAGGGAAAGUUGAAAAGUACUUUGAAGAGAGAGUAAACAGUACGUGAAACCGCAUGCAGGUAAACGGGUGGCGUCAAGCUGCAAGCCCAGAGGAUUCAGCUGGCUAGGGUGUUGUGUAUGCGCCUGGCGCAUCUAUCAGCCGGAGUAAGAUGUGAUAGCCCACUGGGAGACGGUGGAGCCGGCCGCAAGGUUGGCGUAUGCGUACCGGGUGGAAGCCGGAGCAUGCUAUUCGUCUGUAGGGCUGCCUAGUCAGUGCACUUUCUCUGUGGUGAACACCACGACCGGUGGAAUUGCCAGUCUGCUGUGGCCAAGUCACGUUCAGUGGGUUCUUGUAGCCAACUGGGCGGGAUCACAGGCAAAUUCAGUAAACGGCGUAGGGGUGUCUCGGCAUCUCUGCGUGUUAUCGGCUACUGGUUGUCAACGGGCCUGCCUCGCGAUUGUUGUAACCGUCGUGGGGUGGUCUGGUGGGCCAUGGUGGUAAGAAUAACUGUGCAAGGCACCGGGUUUAUCGGCCUCAAAUGCAUCCCGCGCCCAUGUUACAAGUGGUUAAGCGGCGGGGUGCCAUUGCAGUCUGCCUGUUGUUGGGUCUGAUUGUCGUGUCGCCUGCGCAAAGUGGGCUCGGCAGUGGCCUGAUGCAGGAUGGGUUGUGGAUGGUGCUCCCUGUGUGGGGUGUGGUGGGCCAAAUAGUCAGUGGUGUAGUGGUAGACGAGCUACCCGACCCGUCUUGAAACACGGACCAAGGAGUUUAACAUGUAUGCAAGUCAAGGGGUCCUACGAAACCCAAAGGCGCAGUGAAAGUAAAGCUUCGACUUGUUCUCGGAGUGAGGUGAGAUCCUGCUGUUACUCGCAUCAGCCUAGCUUUGUCAGCAUCAGGCUAAGAGCGGUGGGCGCAUCACCGGCCCGUCCCAUGAUGUGGUCAUUGGAUGUCUGCAGUUGUUGCCUCGUGCGGCGGCUGUGGUGCCAGUGCGUCAUCGGGGCGGAGCAUGAGCAUACAUGUUGAGACCCGAAAGAUGGUGAACUAUGCUUGCGUAGGUUGAAGCCAGAGGAAACUCUGGUGGAGGACCGCAGCGAUUCUGACGUGCAAAUCGAUCGUCAAACGUGAGUAUAGGGGCGAAAGACUAAUCGAACCAUCUAGUAGCUGGUUCCCUCCGAAGUUUCCCUCAGGAUAGC